rnacentral:lncRNA from 1 species
UAUAUUUACAAUUGAUAGCACAUGUUAGCCAGAAAGUCUGGCUUGGAAUACCUGUCCCUGCCACUCACAAACUUGGUGACCUUGGGCAGGUUUCUUAGCCUCUUUUUUUCCAUGUGGAUACCCACUUGUUCCUGCACCAUUUGAUGAAAACACAAUUCCCCCUUGAAUUGUUUUCCUGUAUCUGUCGAAAAUUGAUUGAUCAUAUAAGUGUGGUUCUCCUUCUGAAAUUUCUACUCUGUUCCGAUGACUUAUUUGUUUAUCCUUGUGCC